AACGCGAAGAACCUUACCUGGACUUGACAUGCUUUUGACCGCCGUAGAAAUACGGUUUUCUCGCAAGAGACAGAAGCACAGGUGCUGCAUGGCUGUCGUCAGCUCGUGCCGUGAGGUGUUGGGUUAAGUCCCGCAACGAGUGCAACCCUUGUCGUUAGUUGCCAACGCGUAAUGGCGGGCACUCUAGCGAGACUGCCCAGGUUAACUGGGAGGAAGGUGAGGAUGACGUCAAGUCCGCAUGGCCUUUAUGUCCAGGGCUACACACGUGCUACAAUGGUCGGUACAACGGGUUCCGACACGGCGACGUGAAGGCAAUCCCUUAAAGCCGGUCUCAGUUCGGAUUGCAGGCUGCAACUCGCCUGCAUGAAGUCGGAGUUGCUAGUAACCGCAGGUCAGCACACUGCGGUGAAUACGUUCCCGGGCCUUGUACACACCGAGUAUA
rnacentral:rRNA from 1 species